CCUUCCUUUUUCCUUUUUUGCCCUCUCCUCGGAACUAUUCCAACCCCUCUGGACUAAGGACCUGGGGGAAGCACCAGGGGCCUGCACAGGGGACCCACCCCACCAAGACCAGCCCUGCACAUCUCCUUUUCUCCCAACGUCAGCGGAGACGGAGCGGUGGAGCACAGUGAUGACCCUCAAGAGGAGACUUUCACUUUUCAAGUUUGUUAUCCCUCCGUUCUCACGCUUCUGUGUGCUGUCCUGCAUCUGCAAUGCUCUCUCAUGCCAGUCGGGGCUCUGAUACAGCAUCCUCCUAACUGCACACCCUUGAAAAUUUUCCACCUGGGGUGACCAUGGACCAGUGCAGUGGCUGAAAGCUGCUUAAACAGUGUGACAGAGGACAUUCCAGAAAUGAGGACAUCUAUCUUCAUCCUCUUUGCGGAGCCAACCUGCCAAC